CCUACGGGAGGCAGCAGUGAGGAAUAUUGGUCAAUGGACGAGAGUCUGAACCAGCCAAGUAGCGUGAAGGAUGACUGCCCUAUGGGUUGUAAACUUCUUUUAUAUGGGAAUAAAAUGUUCCACGUGUGGGAUUUUGUAUGUACCAUAUGAAUAAGGAUCGGCUAACUCCGUGCCAGCAGCCGAGGUAAUACGGAGGAUCCGAGCGUUAUCCGGAUUUAUUGGGUUUAAAGGGAGCGUAGGUGGAUUGUUAAGUCAGUUGUGAAAGUUUGCGGCUCAACCGUAAAAUUGCAGUUGAAACUGGCAGUCGUGAGUACAGUAGAGGUGGGCGGAAUUCGUGGUGUAGCGGUGAAAUGCUUAGAUAUCACGAAGAACUCCGAUUGCGAAGGCAGCUCACUGGACUGCAACUGACACUGAGGCUCGAAAGUGUGGGUAUCAAACAGGAUUAGAUACCCCAGUAGUC
rnacentral:rRNA from 1 species